AUGGGGGGCAGCGUCAAGAAGCAGGAAGCCGUGAGGCGGUACGUCAGAUCCCGGGCUCCCAGGAUGCAAUGGACGGCCGAGCUCCACAGAAGCUUCCUGCAGGCCAUAGAGUGCCUCGGUGGAGAACACAAUGCCACUCCUAAGCUGGUUCUUCAGGUCAUGGGUGUGAAGGAGCUUACCAUAUCUCACGUCAAGAGCCAUCUGCAGAUGUACAGAGGCCCGAGCACUCGUAAGGCGAAGAAAGAGACGGAGGCACAGCUGCUGCAAAGGAGGCACUCAUGUGCCGCUGAUGAGCAGCAAGGAGGAGGCCCCAAGCCCUUCAUGUGCCCACCUCUGAAAAGGGUCAGGACGGGGGCGGGGACGGAGGCCGCGCACGAAGCAGGCAUGCAAGGAGGCCAAGGAAUCAGUGGGAUGAUGACCAGCGGCGCUGUCAACCAGUACUCUAUUGAUGAUUACUACUACAUGCAAGCCAUGGCCAUGCAGAGGAGAAUAAUGGAGGGCCUCAGCUGUCAGAGGGAUGCUGCGGCUGCUGCUGCUUCCAGCCUCCAGACCGUGGCAUGUUUGGAGCAAGGAUCUGGCGACUUUAAGAUAAUCAAACCGGAAGCGCACUACUAUCCUGGUCUUGUGGUGAAGAAGCUAGACCCCAAGGAGGACAGCAACGGGGCGGAGCAGUGCUCCCUGUCGCUCUCCCUUGGCCUGGACCCGAGAUGCUUCCGUGCCGCCGUCUCAUCGUCGUCGCCGAGCGAAGGCAGCUGCAUCAUCUCGUCGUCGUCGCCGCCGCCCCCGAGGAGGAGGAGCUCCAGCCACUACUCCGGGCACUCCGGCUGCUUCGACGCCCAGGGCAUCAACUUGGAGCUCUCCCUGUCCAUCUGUGGGUCGUAG
rnacentral:rRNA from 1 species